UAUCUCUGUAGAGUCUGCAUAUCAAUAAGCGGAGGAAAAGAAACUAACUAGGAUUCCCUCAGUAACGGCGAGUGAAGCGGGAAGAGCUCAAAUUUGAAAUCUUCAAGGUUCUACCUUGACGAAUUGUAGUUUAAAGAAGUGUUUUCUGUUGGAGUUUUGGUAAAAGUUCUUUGGAAUAGGACAUCAUAGAGGGUGAGAAUCCCGUAUUUGACCAUUAUUUCCAGCUUUGUGAUACACUUUCAAAGAGUCGGAUUGUUUGGGAAUGCAGUCCAAAAUGGGUGGUAAAUUUCAUCUAAAGCUAAAUAUUGGCGAGAGACCGAUAGCGAACAAGUACCGUGAGGGAAAGAUGAAAAGAACUUUGAAAAGAGAGUUAAACAGUACGUGAAAUUGUCAAAAGGGAAGCGUUUGACACCAGUGUUGUUUUUCCGAAAAUCAAUUACGAAUGGCUUGAUUCUGUGUUGUAUUGACCUUAUCAGCUUUCUUCACUUUUUUUCGAGUCUUUCUUAAUGCACUUUUCGGUUAACAAGUCAACAUCAAUUUCUUUUGUUGUAAAAGAGUCAUUCGGAAGGUGGCUUUCUUUUCGGAGAAAGUGUUUAUAGCCUUAUGCCUCUGCAAUCGGAGAGAUUGAGGUCUGCAGCGUAGAUCCUUCGGGGUUAGAUACACUUGUGCUAAGUUGUAGCUUUUCAUAGACAACUUGUUGACUAUGUUUAGUCAUGCGGCUUACUCGCUUGUGCUAUUUUACCUACGCUUAGGAUGUUGAAGAUGUAGCACAUCAU
rnacentral:rRNA from 1 species